rnacentral:rRNA from 1 species
AGAACUGUUGUUAAGGAACUCGGCAAAAUGACCCCGUAACUUAGGGAUAAGGGGUGCCACCAUCAGGUGGCCGCAGAGAAUAGGCCCAAGCGACUGUUUACCAAAAACAUAGGUUUCUGCUAAGUCGCAAGACGAUGUAUAGGAGCUGACGCCUGCCCGGUGCUGGAAGGUUAAGGGGAUCUGUUAGAGUAAUCGAAGCAGUGAACUUAAGCCCCAGUAAACGGCGGCCGUAACUAUAACGGUCCUAAGGUAGCGAAAUUCCUUGUCGGGUAAGUUCCGACCCGCACGAAAGGCGUAACGAUUUGGGCACUGUCUCAACAACAGACUCGGUGAAAUUGUAAUUCCGGUGAAGAUGCCGGAUACCUGCGACAGGACGGAAAGACCCCAUGGAGCUUUACUGUAGCUUGACAUUGGGUCUUGGUACUACAUGUACAGGAUAGGUGGGAGGCUUUGAAACCAGGACGCCAGUUUUGGCGGAGCCAUCCUUGGGAUACCACCCUU